AUACGUAGGUGGCAAGCGUUGUCCGGAAUUAUUGGGCGUAAAGCGCAUGUAGGCGGCGUGUUAAGUCUGUCGUGAAACUGCGGGGCUCAGCCCCGUAUGGCGAUGGAAACUGAUGUGCUUGAGUGCAGGAGAGGAAAGGGGAACUCCCAGUGUAGCGGUGAAAUGCGUAGAUAUUGGGAAGAACACCGGUGGCGAAGGCGCCUUUCUGGACUGUGUCUGACGCUGAGAUGCGAAAGCCAGGGUAGCGAACGGGAUUGGAUACCCCGGUAGUCCUGGCCGUAAACGAUGGGUACUAGGUGUGGGAGGUAUCGACCCCUUCCGUGCCGGAGUUAACGCAAUAAGUACCCCGCCUGGGGAGUACGGCCGCAAGGCUUAAACUCAAAUGAAUUGACGGGG
rnacentral:rRNA from 1 species